ACACUCCUACGGGAGGCAGCAGUGAGGAAUAUUGGACAAUGGGUGGAAGCCUGAUCCAGCCAUCCCGCGUGCAGGAAGACGGCCCUAUGGGUUGUAAACUGCUUUUAUCUGGGGAUAAACCUACUUACGUGUAAGUAGCUGAAGGUACCAGAAGAAUAAGCACCGGCUAACUCCGUGCCAGCAGCCGCGGUAAUACGGAGGGUGCAAGCGUUAUCCGGAUUUAUUGGGUUUAAAGGGUCCGUAGGCGGACUGAUAAGUCAGUGGUGAAAUCCGACAGCUUAACUGUCGAACUGCCAUUGAUACUGUUAGUCUUGAGUAAGGUUGAAGUGGCUGGAAUAAGUAGUGUAGCGGUGAAAUGCAUAGAUAUUACUUAGAACACCAAUUGCGAAGGCAGGUCACUAAGUCUUAACUGACGCUGAUGGACGAAAGCGUGGGGAGCGAACAGGAUUAGAAACCCCAGUAGUCCCAUG
rnacentral:rRNA from 1 species